UACAGAGACUGCAAGCGUUAUUCGGAUUCACUGGGUGUAAAGGGUGCGCAGGCGGUUGGGUGUGUCAGAUGUGAAAUCCCGAGGCUCAACCUCGGAACUGCGUCUGAAACUACUCGACUAGAGUACUGGAGAGGGUAACGGAAUUCACGGUGUAGCAGUGAAAUGCGUAGAUAUCGUGAGGAAGACCAGUGGCGAAGGCGGGUCUCUGGACAGUUCCUGACACUGAAG
rnacentral:rRNA from 1 species